CAGCCGCCACGGGAAUACAGAGGGUGCGAGCGUUAAUCGGAUUUACUGGGCGUAAAGCGUGCGUAGGCGGCUUUUUAAGUCGGAUGUGAAAUCCCUGAGCUUAACUUAGGAAUUGCAUUCGAUACUGGGAAGCUAGAGUAUGGGAGAGGAUGGUAGAAUUCCAGGUGUAGCGGUGAAAUGCGUAGAGAUCUGGAGGAAUACCGAUGGCGAAGGCAGCCAUCUGGCCUAAUACUGACGCUGAGGUACGAAAGCAUGGGGAGCAAACAGGAUUAGAUACCCCAGUAGUCCAUGUCUCUUAUAC
rnacentral:rRNA from 1 species